UCGUAACAAGGUCUCCGUUGGUGAACCAGCGGAGGGAUCAUUACUGAGUUUACGCUCUAUAACCCUUUGUGAACAUACCUAUAACUGUUGCUUCGGCGGGUAGGGUCUCCGCGACCCUCCCGGCCUCCCGCCUCCGGGCGGGUCGGCGCCCGCCGGAGGAUAACCAAACUCUGAUUUAACGACGUUUCUUCUGAGUGGUACAAGCAAAUAAUCAAAACUUUUAACAACGGAUCUCUUGGUUCUGGCAUCGAUGAAGAACGCAGCGAAAUGCGAUAAGUAAUGUGAAUUGCAGAAUUCAGUGAAUCAUCGAAUCUUUGAACGCACAUUGCGCCCGCCAGCAUUCUGGCGGGCAUGCCUGUUCGAGCGUCAUUUCAACCCUCAAGCUCUGCUUGGUGUUGGGGCCCUACAGCUGAUGUAGGCCCUCAAAGGUAGUGGCGGACCCUCCCGGAGCCUCCUUUGCGUAGUAACUUUACGUCUCGCACUGGGAUCCGGAGGGACUCUUGCCGUAAAACCCCCCAAUUUUCCAAAGGUUGACCUCGGAUCAGGUAGGAAUACCCGCUGAACUUAAGCAUAUCA
rnacentral:rRNA from 1 species